rnacentral:rRNA from 1 species
UACAGAGGGGGCAAGCGUUGUUCGGAAUUACUGGGCGUAAAGGGCGCGUAGGUGGCCUUCUAAGUUGAACGUGAAAUCCCUGGGCUCAACCCAGGAACUGCGUCCAAGACUGGGAGGCUUGAAUCCGGGAGAGGGAUGCGGAAUUCCAGGUGUAGCGGUGAAAUGCGUAGAUAUCAGGAAGAACACCGGUGGCGAAGGCGGCUCGCUGGGCCAGAUCUGACACUCAGCCGCGAAAGCGUGGGGAGCGAACGGG